rnacentral:rRNA from 1 species
UACGAAGGGGGCUAGCGUUGCUCGGAAUCACUGGGCGUAAAGGGUGCGUAGGCGGGUCUUUAAGUCAGGGGUGAAAUCCUGGAGCUCAACUCCAGAACUGCCUUUGAUACUGAGGAUCUUGAGUACGGGAGAGGUGAGUGGAACUGCGAGUGUAGAGGUGAAAUUCGUAGAUAUUCGCAAGAACACCAGUGGCGAAGGCGGCUCACUGGCCCGAUACUGACGCUGAGGCACGAAAGCGUGGGAGCAAACAGGG